rnacentral:misc_RNA from 1 species
GGGGAAGGAAGAAAUACCUAGUUUCUUUGCAUUCUGCUGUCUAUGGGGUUUGAGAAUACGCUCUUUUGUUUUCAAUUGAAGAAGAAGGGGCUAUUACUUUCUCAUAUCUGCUCCUUCUAUCAUUGGGAUGGUGAUAUCUAUCGAUAAGAAAGGCUCGAUGAAGUGAGAAGAUGUCAGAUUAAAGGAGAAGGCAGCAGCCUAGAGACGAGGUUUUGUAAGACGUAGUAUUGUUUCGUAAUUGGGGAAGUGCCCAAUGGGAUAGGAGCUAAAGGCUGACACGGUGUUGAUCCAAUAGGGCUUCUUUUUGUUUUAUGCUUUUAAGA